GACGAACGCUGGCGGCGUGCUUAACACAUGCAAGUCGAACGAAGAGCGACGGAAGCUUGCUUCUAUCAAUCUUAGUGGCGAACGGGUGAGUAACGCGUAAUCAACCUGCCCUUCAGAGGGGGACAACAGUUGGAAACGACUGCUAAUACCGCAUACGAUCUAACCUCGGCAUCGAGGAUAGAUGAAAGGUGGCCUCUACAUGUAAGCUAUCACUGAAGGAGGGGAUUGCGUCUGAUUAGCUAGUUGGAGGGGUAACGGCCCACCAAGGCGAUGAUCAGUAGCCGGUCUGAGAGGAUGAACGGCCACAUUGGGACUGAGACACGGCCCAGACUCCUACGGGAGGCAGCAGUGGGGAAUCUUCCGCAAUGGACGAAAGUCUGACGGAGCAACGCCGCGUGAGUGAUGACGGCCUUCGGGUUGUAAAGCUCUGUUAAUCGGGACGAAAGGCCUUCUUGCGAAUAGGGAGAAGGAUUGACGGUACCGGAAUAGAAAGCCACGGCUAACUACGUG
rnacentral:rRNA from 1 species